UACGUAGGGUCCGAGCGUUGUCCGGAAUUACUGGGCGUAAAGAGCUCGUAGGUGGUUUGUCGCGUUGUUCGUGAAAACUCACAGCUUAACUGUGGGCGUGCGGGCGAUACGGGCAGACUUGAGUACUGCAGGGGAGACUGGAAUUCCUGGUGUAGCGGUGGAAUGCGCAGAUAUCAGGAGGAACACCGGUGGCGAAGGCGGGGUCUCUGGGCAGUAACUGACGCUGAGGAGCGAAAGCGUGGGGAGCGAACAGG
rnacentral:rRNA from 1 species